rnacentral:rRNA from 1 species
GAUGAACGCUGGCGGCGUGCCUAAUACAUGCAAGUCGAGCGAACAGACGAGGAGCUUGCUCCUCUGACGUUAGCGGCGGACGGGUGAGUAACACGUGGAUAACCUACCUAUAAGACUGGGAUAACUUCGGGAAACCGGAGCUAAUACCGGAUAAUAUAUUGAACCGCAUGGUUCAAUAGUGAAAGACGGUUUUGCUGUCACUUAUAGAUGGAUCCGCGCCGCAUUAGCUAGUUGGUAAGGUAACGGCUUACCAAGGCAACGAUGCGUAGCCGACCUGAGAGGGUGAUCGUCCACACUGGAACUGAGACACGGUCCAGACUCCUACGGGAGGCAGCAGUAGGGAAUCUUCCGCAAUGGGCGAAAGCCUGACGGAGCAACGCCGCGUGAGUGAUGAAGGUCUUCGGAUCGUAAAACUCUGUUAUUAGGGAAGAACAAAUGUGUAAGUAACUAUGCACGUCUUGACGGUACCUAAUCAGAAAGCCACGGCUAACUACGUG